rnacentral:rRNA from 1 species
CCUUACCAGGUCUUGACAUCCCUGACAACCCGAGAGAUCGGGCGUUCCCCUUCGGGGGACAGGGAGACAGGUGCUGCAUGGCUGUCGUCAGCUCGUGUCGUGAGAUGUUGGGUUAAGUCCCGCAACGAGCGCAACCCUUGUCUUUAAUUGCCAGCAUUCAGUUGGGCACUUUAAAGAGACUGCCGGUGUUAAGCCGGAGGAAGGUGGGAUGACGUCAAGUCCUCAUGGCCUUUAUGCCCAGGGCUACACACGUGCUACAAUGGGUGGUACAAAGAGAUGCCAACUCGCGAGAGCGCGCCAAUCUCAGAAAGCCAUCCUCAGUUCGGAUUGGAGUCUGCAACUCGACUCCAUGAAGUUGGAAUCGCUAGUAAUCGCGGAUCAGCACGCCGCGGUGAAUACGUUCCCGGGCCUU